rnacentral:rRNA from 1 species
GUGGGUAACCUGCCCAUAAGACUGGGAUAACUCCGGGAAACCGGGGCUAAUACCGGAUAACAUUUUGAACCGCAUGGUUCGAAAUUGAAAGGCGGCUUCGGCUGUCACUUAUGGAUGGACCCGCGUCGCAUUAGCUAGUUGGUGAGGUAACGGCUCACCAAGGCAACGAUGCGUAGCCGACCUGAGAGGGUGAUCGGCCACACUGGGACUGAGACACGGCCCAGACUCCUACGGGAGGCAGCAGUAGGGAAUCUUCCGCAAUGGACGAAAGUCUGACGGAGCAACGCCGCGUGAGUGAUGAAGGCUUUCGGGUCGUAAAACUCUGUUGUUAGGGAAGAACAAGUGCUAGUUGAAUAAGCUGGCACCUUGACGGUACCUAACCAGAAAGCCACGGCUAACUACGUGCCAGCAGCCGCGGUAAUACGUAGGUGGCAAGCGUUAUCCGGAAUUAUUGGGCGUAAAGCGCGCGCAGGUGGUUUCUUAAGUCUGAUGUGAAAGCC